AUAUCUCUCCGUACGGGAAGGAUGAGAAGCUUCGACUAAGGUUCGAUUCGAGCGCAGCGAGAAAGCGUUGCCGCAGGCAAC
rnacentral:sRNA from 1 species